CUCUUUUUGAUUAUAAUUUAAAGUAGGGCCUGCCCACUGAGUUUUUGAAGGGCCGCAGUAUUUUGACUGUGCAAAGGUAGCAUAAUCAUUAGUUUUUUAAUUGAAAGCUUGUAUGAAUGGUUUGAUGAGAAAAAAUCUGUCUCAAUUUUAAUAAUUUAGAAUUUUAUUUUUAAGUAAAAAAGCUUAAAUAAUUUUAAAAGACGAGAAGACCCUAUAGAGUUUUAUUUAAAAUAAUUUUAUAAGUUUUAGAAUUUAAAUUUUUUAAUAUUAUUUUAAAUUGGGUUGGGGUGACUAAAAAAUUAAAUUAACUUUUUUUUUAUUUGAACAUUAAUUUAUGAAUAAUUGAUCCAUAAAAAUGAUUAAAAGAUUAAAUUACCUUAGGGAUAACAGCGUAAUUUUUUUUGAAAGUUCCUAUCGAAAAAAAAGAUUGCGACCUCGAUGUUGGAUUAAAAUUUAUUUUUGGUGUAGAAGCUAAAAAAUUAGGUCUGUUCGACCUUUAAAAUUUUACAUGAUCUGAGUUUAAACCGGUGUAAGCCAGGUUGGUUUCUAUCUUUAAAAAAGAUAAAUAUUUUAGUACGAAAGGAUCAAAUAUUUUAUUUAUAAUAUUAAAUUUUGAAUUAAAAUUUUAUUUUGGCAGAAUAGUGCGAAAGAUUUAGAAUCUUUUUAUGUAAUUUUUACAAAUAAAAAUUGAAUUAGUUUUAAUUUUAUUAAAUUUUUUUUUAUUAUUUAUUGGAGUUUUGGUGGGAGUAGCAUUUUUAACUUUAUUAGAGCGAAAACUUUU
rnacentral:rRNA from 1 species